GUCAACCCGGGUAGAGACGAUCCCCGCCAAAGCCCUCUUCCCCAACACCAACUAUUACGUCACGUACGAGGGCUCACUCACACAACCCGGAUGUUAUGAGACGGUCACGUGGGUCAUAUUCAACAAACCCAUAUACAUUUCAAAAGAUAUGCUGACGUCAUUACGGCGCCUCCAACAAGGUAUAAAAGACGACCCAAACAACAUCGUGGCCAACAACAACCGCCCCAUCAUGCCUAUAAACAACAGAGUGGUUCGAACCAAUAUCAACCAUCCAGGAACGAGCACAAGCAACAUAUGUGGGAUGACACGAUACACGUUUUAUCAAAUAAACCCGUCCCUUGAUGUCUGACGGAAGACCAGGAUGCAGUAUGACCGUGCUGGCGCCACACUUCAACAUUGUAACAUAAUGUAUGCAUGUCGCGUUUUCUGUCAUAUUUAUAUAUUUUUGUACAAAUGUAGAGUUGUAAUAAAGAACAAAAAUUAGAAAUGUA